rnacentral:rRNA from 1 species
GAUGAACGCUGGCGGCGUGCCUAAUACAUGCAAGUCGAGCGAACCGACGAGGAGCUUGUUCUUUUGACGUUCGCGGCGGACGGGUGCGUAACACGUGGGUAACCUACCUAUAAUACUGGGAUAACUUCGGGCACCCGGCGCUAAUACCGGUUAAUAUUUCUAAUCGCAUGGUUCGCUAGUGAAAGCUGGAUCUGCUUUCCCUUAUAGAUUGACUUGCGCCGCAUGAUCUAGUUGGUAUGGUAACGGCUUACCAAGGCAACGAUACGUAGCCGACCUGAGAGGGUGAUCGGCCACACUGGAACUGAGACACGUACCAGACGCCGACGGGAGGCAGCAGUAGGGAAUCUACCACGUUGAGCGAAAGCCUGACGGAGCAACGCCGCGUGAGUGAUGAAGGUCUUCGUAGCGUAAAACUCUGUUAUUAGGGAAGAACAAUCAUGUAAGUAACUGUGCACGUCUUGGCGGUACCUAAUCAGAAGGCCACGGCUGACUACGUG